CAGUGACAUUCUCGGGGUUUGGACUUUGGACAAGAUGAUAUUCCACGUGACAUCCUUUGGGGAAGUAGAGCAUCUCCUUUCGUAGAAGAUUGAAGAGGUCAAAAACUUGAAAUUGAUAUCACCAUCUUUUUUUCUGCAAAAAGAUAACCCCAGUACAAAUCCUCGGUUAUAUAUCUAUAUCUAGGUUGUUAUGGCCCUGCCCAUGGGAAUGAUGCUCAAUGAACAUGAAAACAGAUCCAUGAACACAUACCUCAUGCAGUGUGCUGCACAACAUUAUGUCAGAAAACAAUACCCAUAUGUUGAGGAAGCGUAAAAACAUGUGAGAUCUUCUGGAAGGAUAGCAUACUAAAACAAAGAAGCCCAAUGGUGAUGUACAUUAAAUCCUUCAAUAUUGUUGGAGGUACUGAAUUACUGAGAGAAUCACAGUGUAAUUUCUCUGGCAUGGGAGCUGAUGGCUGUAGAAGGAUCUAUCAGCAUUGCUAUGAAUGUCCCUGGCAAACGUGAAUUGCACUACCAUUUGGAAUAAACCCUGGUUUGGUCUUCCAGUAUCUUUGAGUACAUAGCUACUAUUUUCAGUCAUGUAGUGGAAUGCAUGCAUAGUAUUUCUUCUAUGGAUCUUCAAAAGCCUCUAUAAUCAUUUCUACAUCCUCAUAAACAAGAACUCUGUGUUUCUUACAAGCUUGCAUGCACUUCUUCAUUGAAGUUUUAGUUUUAUAAUCUUAUUUAUUUUGGCCUGAAGUGUUUAUCAGUAACAGCUUUGCAUUUGGAAAUUCAAUUUCAUUCACUUAGUGCAUUUGCAAAUAUGGAAAAUCAGACGAUAGUUGUCUUCAAUUGUUUCUAUUCAUAUAGUGCAUGUACAUUUUUGUCCAGUGUCUUAGUAACUUAGUAGGAGUAUGUGGUACAUGACCUGACUUCAUAUGGAACAAUUCAUGCGUUGCUCAAGAAUCAAACUCAUAAAUUGUCAAUUCCCAAACCCACUGGCAUUGGCCUUUUUUUUUUCUCUUAAGUCUUACAGAUCCCAUCGGUGUUUUGUUCCUUGCAUAUAUGUUCUCGUUGCUAAGCUUUUGAACCUGAAGGUAUGUGAUACCAUAUGAUGGAACAACAUCCCAUGAUGUAUGCCAUGGCUUUGGCCUUUUGCUGUAACUAAUCAAUUGCUUUUAGCAGCAGCAUUUUGUCUAGUUGAUGUAGACUAAUAUCUCUAUUGUGAGCGCUAGACCACCUUAUUGCCAAUUGUCUCCUUGAUAGAUAGAUGUUCUGUGAAGUGUGGAAGCUGUUGAUAUCUUUAUCCAUACCUCUACCAUUUCAAACAAGCUAACUUUUCAAGUCAAAAUUCAUGCUGUGAGAUUGUGACACACCCCAAUUGUGAUGACUGACUCAGGAAGUGGGCCUGACAAUUUUAUCAUGUGGGUGAUACCAUUUUGAGGCUUGUUCCCACAUUCUUUUUAACAAUAUUGGUUUGGGGACUACCUUUAGUGUAUAUUCUGUGUCGGAAGCACAACUCCUGGUCCUUCAAAGUAAUACAAUCACCAUUCUUUAAAAAUUGUAUAACAUAGACUCCAACAAAAUUACAGUACGUAUUCCCUGCUAACACUAAAUAUCUCAGGAUAACAGAUUUGAAAAGGUGCCUGGGAUGUGGUGUGCAGUUGGCUGUGAAACUUGGUCAGGGUUGAAAAACAAGAAAUGUUUCUUCUUUUUAUCCUUUGUAGUUUGGUGGAAGUCAUUCGAUGCUUGCCCCCUUAUCAUCCGUCGUCUUACUUUUAGCCAACUAUUAAUGUAUUUAUCUAUAUAGGAAUAGUUAAUAUGGUAAGACAGAUGCAUGGACUGAAUCUGGUACAGGUAAAUCCAAUCCCCUCCCUCACUUUUUUAUCAUUUUUGCAGAGCUAUAACUGGCCAUUUAGUGGUGAGCAUCUUGUGUUAUGCUAUCUGGAAACCUUGGCUUGUUUCCAAUCCUAACUGUUAAACACUAAUAACAUAUACUCCACUGUGCUGGACAGGCAUGCAGAUAAAAGACCUGGAGACGGUUGUUGAAUUAACCAAUAUACUCUGAUGAAGAUGCCGAAGCAACACUCCUUUUUUCUUGUAGUGAAGUAACACACUGGAUGUGCUCUUGCCUGUAGUGGUCCGAUGUGCUCAUGUCAUGAAAUCUGCUUCCGUGUUCAAGUUGAGUUCUUUUUUGUUUUCUCUCUUUUUGGUCAAAGAGGAUUUGCACGAAGAUGUAUUACUUCUGUUUUAUAAUAUAUUAUAAGACUUUUUAAUCCCCCUAAACUUAUAUGUAGGCUAAUGAA